ensembl:Y_RNA Y_RNA Y RNA
GGCUGGUUUAAAUGCAGUGGUGUUUACAAUUAAUUGAUCACUACCAUUUACAGAUUCUUUGUUCCUUCUCCACUCCCACUUCUUCACUUGACUAGCCUUAA